AACGAACGCUGGCGGCAUGCCUAACACAUGCAAGUCGAACGAUACCUUCGGGUCUAGUGGCGCACGGGUGCGUAACGCGUGGGAACCUGCCCUUAGGUUCGGAAUAACUCCCCGAAAGGGGUGCUAAUACCGGAUAAUGUCUUCGGACCAAAGAUUUAUCGCCUUUGGAUGUGCCCGCGUUGGAUUAGCUAGUUGGUAGGGUAAAAGCCUACCAAGGCGACGAUCCAUAGCUGGUCUGAGAGGAUGAUCAGCCACACUGGGACUGAGACACGGCCCAGACUCCUACGGGAGGCAGCAGUGGGGAAUAUUGGACAAUGGGCGAAAGCCUGAUCCAGCAAUGCCGCGUGAGUGAUGAAGGCCUUAGGGUUGUAAAGCUCUUUUACCCGGGAUGAUAAUGACAGUACCGGGAGAAUAAGCUCCGGCUAACUCCGUG
rnacentral:rRNA from 1 species